rnacentral:rRNA from 1 species
CACUGCUCAGUAACACGUGGACAACCUGCUCUGAGGACUGGAAUAAUCCCGGGAAACUGGGGGUAAUUCCAGAUAUGUCAGAACUCCUGGAAUGGGUUCUGGCAGAAAGGCUCCGGCGCCUCAGGAUGGGUCUGCGGCCUAUCAGGGUAGUAGUGGGUGUAACGUACCUACUAGCCUACGACGGGUACGGGUUGUGAGAGCAAGAGCCCGGAGAUGGAUUCUGAGACAUGAAUCCAGGCCCUACGGGGUGCAGCAGGCGCGAAAACUUUACAAUGCGGGCAACCGCGAUAAGGGGACCUCGAGUGCUGGGUUACAAACCUGGCUGUUGGGCUGCCUAAAAAGCAGUCUAUAGCAAGGGCCGGGCAAGACCGGUGCCAGCCGCCGCGGUAACACCGGCGGCUCGAGUGGUAACCGCUAUUAUUGGGUCUAAAGGGUCUGUAGCCGGCCGACUAAGUCUCUUGGGAAAUCUGGCAUCUCAAGUGUCAGGCUGCCAGGGGAUACUGGUCGGCUUGGGACCGGGAGAGGUGAGAGGUACCUCGGGGGUAGGGGUGAAAUCUUGUAAUCCUCGAGGGACCACCAGUGGCGAAGGCGUCUCACCAG